AGUGAACGCUGGCGGUAGGCCUAACACAUGCAAGUCGAACGGCAGCACAGUAAGAGCUUGCUCUUACGGGUGGCGAGUGGCGGACGGGUGAGGAAUACAUCGGAAUCUACUUUUUCGUGGGGGAUAACGUAGGGAAACUUACGCUAAUACCGCAUACGACCUACGGGUGAAAGCAGGGGAUCUUCGGUCCUUGCGCGAUUGAAUGAGCCGAUGUCGGAUUAGCUAGUUGGCGGGGUAAAGGCCCACCAAGGCGACGAUCCGUAGCUGGUCUGAGAGGAUGAUCAGCCACACUGGAACUGAGACACGGUCCAGACUCCUACGGGAGGCAGCAGUGGGGAAUAUUGGACAAUGGGCGCAAGCCUGAUCCAGCCAUACCGCGUGGGUGAAGAAGGCCUUCGGGUUGUAAAGCCCUUUUGUUGGGAAAGAAAAGCAGCAGGUUAAUACCCCGCUGUUCUGACGGUACCCAAAGAAUAAGCACCGGCUAACUUCGU
rnacentral:rRNA from 1 species